UACAGAGGGUGCUAGCGUUGUUCGGAAUCAUUGGGCGUAAAGGGCGUGUAGGCGGUUUGUUAAGUCAUGUGUGAAAUCCCUCGGCUCAACCGGGGAACGACGCAUGAAACUGGCAAGCUAGAGUACCAAAGAGGGGGGUGGAAUUCCGGGUGUAGUGGUGAAAUGCGUAGAGAUCCGGAGGAACACCAGUGGCGAAGGCGACACGCUGGGCCGUACCUGACACUGAACCGCGACAGCAUGGGGAGCAAACAGG
rnacentral:rRNA from 1 species